rnacentral:rRNA from 1 species
AGGGUUCGAUUCUGGCUACAGGACGAACGCUGGCGGUGUGCCUCAUACAUGCAAGUCGAACGAUAAGGUCCUUCGGGAAUACAUAAGUGGCGGACGGGUGAGUACAACAUAGGAAAUCUGCCCUAAACUGGGGGACAACAGAGGGAAACUUCUGCUAAUACCCCAUACGAGCUUGGUUGAAAUACCAAUCUUGAAAGCUCCGGCGGUUUAGGAUGAGCCUGUGCCUGAUUAGCUGGUUGGUGGUGUAAUGGACUACCAAGGCGACGAUCAGUAGCUGGUUUGAGAGGAUGAUCAGCCACAAUGGGACUGAGACACGGCCCAUACUCCUACGGGAGGCAGCAGUAGGGAAUUUUGCGCAAUGGGGGGAAAAACCCCUGACGCAGCAACACCGCGUGAAUGUUAAGCCCUUCGGGGUGUAAAGUUCUGUCAGUAGGGAAGAAUAAAUGACUGUACCUACAAAGGAAGCACCGGCUAACUCCGUGCCAGCCGCCGC